GAUGAAGAACGUAUCGAAUUGCGAUAAGUAAUGUGAAUUGCAGAUACUCGUGAAUCAUUGAAUUUUUGAACGCACAUUGCGCCCUUGAGCAUUCUCAGGGGCAUGCCUGUUUGAGCGUCAUUUCCUUCUCAAAAGAUAAUUUAUUAUUUUUUGGUUGUGGGCGAUACUCAGGGUUAGCUUGAAAUUGGAGACUGUUUCAGUCUUUUUUAAUUCAACACUUAGCUUCUUUGGAGACGCUGUUCUCGCUGUGAUGUAUUUAUGGAUUUAUUCGUUUUACUUUACAAGAGAAAUGGUAACGUACCUUAGGCAAAGGGUUGCUUUUAAUAUUCAUCAAGUUUGACCUCAAAUCAGGUAGGAUUACCCGCUGAACUUAAGCAUAUCAAUAAGCGGAGGA
rnacentral:misc_RNA from 1 species